UUUUGUCAUCUGAGCUGUGAAAAGCAAAGCAGAGAAGUGAGAACACUGUUUGGAAACGCAUUAGUGAUCAGGGAUGUAUUGCUCCGUGUUUACAGCCUGGCCUUUAAAGUGUGCAAUGACAGCUGCACGAAGGAAAUGUCUGAUAAAAGAUCACUUUAUUUCAAGACAACACUGUGAGGCUGUACCAAAUAUAAUGAGUAGGAAUGGACCAUAGGCUGAAGGCUCCUAUUCCUUACCAUCACAUUGGACGUGUAUUACUCAGCCAGCAGGCUGCCAGGACACUUUGGGGAUCACCGUGGGACUCUCCUUGGGUAAGUCCUUGCCCUUAAAUAGCUUCACCCUGGCACAGAUGGAAGCUAUGCUUGUUCUUUCCAGGCUUUUCCCCCAGGAUGGAGCUGAGUCAGUGCCAUCAGGGCAUCCUUCACACUGAGCCAUGAGCAGGUGAUUUAAAUCCCGGUGGUAAGUGAAUGGUAAAUUAGAAGCAGCUACUUCCCUUCCAGGGGGAUGGUAAUUUUUGCAAGGUUGGCUUGGAAGAGAAUUAAAGCCUCCCCAGAAAUAUAAAAGGACAGCCACAGACAUGGAGUAAGAUGUUUCAGGAAUGGUUUAGAGGGUGGAUGAUGGAAUGGAGAAGUGUUUCCUGCUUGUUCCCGUGUCUCCUGAGGCUGUGAUUCCUGCACAGGGAGAGAGGCUCAGGCUAAAACCUCACCCAGAAAAUGUAGAGGUCUUCAGCCUCCGACAUGAGAUCUAUGCUCUUUGCCCUGGAUUACACACAGAACCUUGGAAGCUGAGGAGCCCCAGGAGACAUUUGCAGUGGUAGAUGACAAAUCAAGGUCAGCAUGAAACACCAAGUGACCUGGGAUGGGACCAGCGUACUUUCAAAAGGAGAAGCAGCCUAUGAGAAAACAGCUUUUCCUCAGCAGCAUCUCCCUUGCAAAUGCUCCUUGUUCCACAUCCAGAAGUUUGCCAGAGCUGGAUAAAGCUGAUUUCCUCCCCUGGUGGCAGCAGCGGAUGCAGAGAACAAUAGGUACGGUGCCUGCUCAGGGAACAACUCCUGCUCCCCUGUGCCAUGCCCAGCCCUCAGCUGGGGAUGGAGGGACCCGAGGGAAAAGCCAGCUCCAGAGGAGUGGCUUGGAAAAGAACAUUGCAAAAAUUCAUGGAAAGCAGUGAUUGAAUGAAGAAUGAGGUCAUGCAUCUGUUCCAGGAAACGUGCAGCAAAAUAUGUGUUUACUGCAGAAAUUUUAUGAAAUGGAUAAAAAUAAAAGAAUCUCAUCCCUAGAAAGAUGCA
rnacentral:lncRNA from 1 species